GGGGAAUUCUGGCCUGGGUAGUGGGGGAUAACGUUCGGAAACGGACGCUAAUACCGCAUACGUCCUACGGGAGAAAGCAGGGGACCUUCGGGCCUUGCGCUAUCAGAUGAGCCUAGGUCGGAUUAGCUAGUUGGUGAGGUAAUGGCUCACCAAGGCUACGAUCCGUAACUGGUCUGAGAGGAUGAUCAGUCACACUGGAACUGAGACACGGUCCAGACUCCUACGGGAGGCAGCAGUGGGGAAUAUUGGACAAUGGGCGAAAGCCUGAUCCAGCCAUGCCGCGUGUGUGAAGAAGGUCUUCGGAUUGUAAAGCACUUUAAGUUGGGAGGAAGGGCAUUAACCUAAUACGUUAGUGCUUUGACGUUACCGACAGAAUAAGCACCGGCUAACUCUGUGCCAGCAGCCGCGGUAAUACAGAGGGUGCAAGCGUUAAUCGGAAUUACUGGGCGUAAAGCGCGCGUAGGUGGUUUGUUAAGUUGAAUGUGAAAUCCCCGGGCUCAACCUGGGAACUGCAUCCAAAACUGGCAAGCUAGAGUAUGGUAGAGGGUAGUGGAAUUUCCUGUGUAGCGGUGAAAUGCGUAGAUAUAGGAAGGAACACCAGUGGCGAAGGCGACUACCUGGACUGAUACUGACACUGAUGUGCGAAAGCGUGGGGAGCAAACACGAUUAGAUACCCUGGUAGUCCACGCCGUAUACGAUGUCAACUAGCCGUUGCGAUCCAUGAGUUCUUAGUGGCGCAGCUAACGCAUUAUAUGACCGCAUGUUGGAGUACGGACCGCCAAGGUUAAAACUCACGAUGAAUUGACUGGGGCUCAUCACAAGCGG
rnacentral:rRNA from 1 species